UGCCAGCCGCCGCGGUAAUACGGAGGGUGCGAGCGUUAAUCGGAAUCACUGGGCGUAAAGCGUACGUAGGCGGCGUAUCAAGUCAGGCGUGAAAGCCCUCGGCUCAACCGAGGAAUUGCGUUUGAAACUGUUGAACUUGAGUGCAGGAGAGGUAAGUGGAAUUCCUAGUGUAGAGGUGAAAUUCGUAGAUAUUAGGAGGAACACCAGUGGCGAAGGCGACUUCCUGGACUAUUACUGACACUGAGGAGCGAAAGCGUGGGGAGCAAACAGGAUUAGAUA
rnacentral:rRNA from 1 species